UACGGGAGGCAGCAGUGGGGAAUAUUGCACAAUGGGCGGAAGCCUGAUGCAGCAACGCCGCGUGAGGGAUGACGGCCUUCGGGUUGUAAACCUCUUUUAGCAGGGAAGAAGCGAAAGUGACGGUACCUGCAGAAAAAGCGCCGGCUAACUACGUGCCAGCAGCCGCGGUAAUACGUAGGGCGCAAGCGUUAUCCGGAAUUAUUGGGCGUAAAGAGCUCGUAGGCGGUUUGUCGCGUCUGCUGUGAAAUCCCGAGGCUCAACCUCGGGCCUGCAGUGGGUACGGGCAGACUAGAGUGCGGUAGGGGAGAUUGGAAUUCCUGGUGUAGCGGUGGAAUGCGCAGAUAUCAGGAGGAACACCGAUGGCGAAGGCAGAUCUCUGGGCCGUAACUGACGCUGAGGAGCGAAAGGGUGGGGAGCAAACAGGCUUAGAUACCCUGGUAGUCCACCCCCGUAAACGUUGGGAACUAGUUGUGGGGUCCAUUCCACGGAUUCCGUGACGCAGCUAACGCAUUAAGUUCCCCGCCUGGGGAGUACGGCCGCAAGGCUAAAACUCAAAGGAAUUGACGGGGACCCGCACAAGCGGCGGAGCAUGCGGAUUAAUUCGAUGCAACGCGAAGAACCUUACCAAGGCUUGACAUAUACGAGAACGGGCCAGAAAUGGUCAACUCUUUGGACACUCGUAAACAGGUGGUGCAUGGUUGUCGUCAGCUCGUGUCGUGAGAUGUUGGGUUAAGUCCCGCAACGAGCGCAACCCUCGUUCUAUGUUGCCAGCACGUAAUGGUGGGAACUCAUGGGAUACUGCCGGGGUCAACUCGGAGGAAGGUGGGGAUGACGUCAAAUCAUCAUGCCCCUUAUGUCUUGGGCUUCACGCAUGCUACAAUGGCCGGUACAAAGGGCUGCAAUACCGUGAGGUGGAGCGAAUCCCAAAAAGCCGGUCCCAGUUCGGAUUGAGGUCUGCAACUCGACCUCAUGAAGUCGGAGUCGCUAGUAAUCGCAGAUCAGCAACGCUGCGGUGAAUACGUUCCCGGGUCUUGUACACACCGCCCGUCAAGUCAUGAAAGUCGGUAACACCUGAAGCCGGUGGCCUAACCCUUGUGGA
rnacentral:rRNA from 1 species